rnacentral:lncRNA from 1 species
GCAACCCUCCCACCUCAGCCUCCCAAAGGGCAGGGACUACAGCUUUGUGAUUUUGGCACAUUUUUUCCCAUUUCUUUUGGUGAGAAAAAUGAAGCUCAGAGAGAUUAAGUGACCUGUGCAAGAUUGCCUAGCCAGUAAGGGUGGAUUCUACGCUGCUCAUGGUAAAUCUGGACUCUUCUCUGUGACAGUCUGCCAAACACCUGGUUAUGCAUCCUUCCUUGUCAUUCCUGAAGUGAAAAAUGAAGGCAAGAAAUGCUCCUGAAGUGAAGAAUCAGAAGACACUAAGGAUCAUGUGAAAGAGCUCCCUGAGGACAGAUUAAGAGGAGAUGAGUUAAAGCUGCAAAUACCAAGAUUUAAGAUGAAAUUAAGAAUGCUGAUCAGCUAAAGGACCUUCACAUACAAAGGUUAUCCUGGAUUAUUCAGGUGGGCUCAACGUAAUCACAAGGAUCCUUUAAAGUGGAAGAAUGAGGUCAGAGUGAUGUGAUGUGAAAAGCACUCAAUUUGCCUUUGCUAGUUUUGAAGAUGGAAGAAUGGGGCCAUGGUCCAAGGCAUGCUGGUGACCUCUAGAAGCUGAAAAAGUUAAGAAAAUGGAAAAGAAACUUCAGCGCAGUGAGGCCCAAUUUGGACUUCUGACUCCAGAACUGCAAGAUAAUACAUUUGUAUCCAUUAAGCCACUAAGUUUGUGCUAAUUUGCUAUGGCAGCAACAGGAGACUAAUACACCUUGGCAGGUAGAGGUAGUCCUCCUCUGGGGCAAACAUAUAAGCAUGCUUACUAUACAAUAUAAUAAGGAUGAUGUCUCUUUCCAGGACAUAGGCAGGCAUGCUUAUUUCCUGUUAUAAAAUAUUCAGGUUUUCUAAGUUCAGUUUUUUGUUUUUUUGUUUUUUUUUUGCUGGAACACAAUUGACUGUGGAUGCUGGUAUUAUCUAGCCCUAUUUGCAUCACCUUGCGGGUACUGGGGUUUGGAGGAAUUGGCUCAGAUGCUGAUACCGUGGCUACUACUAUUGUGGUGUCUUGGUCCAUUGUGCUGCUAUAAUAGAAUACAUGAGACUUGACAAUUUAAAAUGAACAGAUAUUUAUCGGCUCAGAGUUCUGGAGGCUGGGAAGUACAAUAUCAAGAUGCUGGCUGUUUGCGAGGGUCUUCUUGCUACAUCAUUUCAUGGCAGAAGGUGAGAGGAUGAGAGAGAGCAAGAGGGGGCUGAACUUGCCCUUUUAUAAUGGCACCAAUUCCACCCAUGACGGUGGAACUCUCCUGGCCUAAACACCUUUGAAUGGUCCCACAUCAUUAAAGCUGUUAUAAUAGCAAUUAAAUUUCAACAUGAGUUUUGGAGGAGCAAACAUUGAAACUAUAGUGUAAAGGAGACCUUACCCUUUUAUAUAAUCCUUAGUAAAACUUGUGUAAUUCAUGUGAUGGAGACUGCUAAUAUCUGGUUAUAUUGGGAAGCUUGGAUAUUUCCUAUACAUUUUAAGUAUUGGAUAAACUUAAGAAUAUUCUGUAUAGGAUACUUUCUCCUUGGAAUCUAAAUCAUUUUUCUGAUUUAGAAACUAAGGAGAAGCCUGUAGUCAUUGGCUUAAAAAUUGAUUACAAAUGAAUUUGUAGAAAUAGUACUUCCCAUCCCAACUUCACUUCUAUUUUACAUCAGUUUUCUUUUUUUUACAUAACAGAUGUGACAUUUAAAUAUUUCUCUAAUGUUAUGGCAUAAUGAACUUUGUCAAAGAGCCAUAUGGUUUAUGCAAACACAAAGAUAAUCUUGGAACAUUGACAUAUGUAAGCUUAAUUUAAAAAGUCUGUGAAAAUAGUGAAAAGCAGAUGGAGAGUUGCCAUGGAAAUUACUAACACUUAGAGGAAGAAAAAUAUUACUUUAGGGUCAUUGUGAUUUCUAAAGGAAUGGUCAGACUUGCAAAAUUGUUUUCCUACCCAAUUGUCAGUAAUAAAAACAGAUAUUGGCAGGUAAAUAUAUUUUUUAUUUAUCUAUGAUUUUAUGAUUUCACUGCAUUCUGAAUAUAUUACAGGUAUGCACAUUUUUAUUGGUAAAGACUUUUAGUAGUGGAAGAAAAUCUAACUAUUUACCACUACUUUAAAUAAGAAAUGUUCUUUUCAAUUUUUCUGAAUGAAAGUACAAGUUGUGACUUAUUAGUUUUUGUUCUCCUUAUGUAGGUUUUUAUCUUGAUAUAAGAUAAAAUUAGUAUCAGAAUGACAUAGUCUUUAAAGGAAGAUGACUAAAAUUUGCUCUUAUAGAUUAAUUGUACCAAUUGUAAAAAAUAGAGAGAAGUCUAGAUAGCUCAAUAAAAGUAAUGAAAAAACCUUUUAGGCCAGAUUCUUUAUUAGAAAUUAUAAUUGGUAGACACUGCUCUUUACCAUAGCUUAGUCAUAGAGAAAGUUUAAAAAUCUCAAUAGGAAGUCAUUUGCACUGCUCAUUUUGUACCAGCAAUUAUUUAUCACCUGAUUGGUUUAUAUAUUCAUUUCCAUGAACUUUCGAAAAGUCAGUAACUAAACUCUAAUUCUUUCUCUUUUCUUCUGAGGCAAUUUCAGUUGCUGUGGUUCUCAUGGAAUAGACUAAUCAAAAGUGGGAAGGAAUUAAAGUUGGGGCCAGGCGGUUUUGGAACAUCGACAUAACAUUUGGUAAAAUGUGAAGCUGAAUUAACGCUGUUUUUGAUGUUGAAAAUGAAAUAUCAAGAAUAAAGGGAUAAAUAUCUAUGAUUCCAACCUGUAGGAAAUCAUAAAAACUUGUUUCUUUGCAAAACACUAAAAUUAUACAAUAAGAUUCAAUGGGAAUUUAAAAUGAGGAUGCUGGGAUCAACUAAUGCAGAUGGAUUAGCAUUUAAGUUGUUUUUUUCUUUGUUCUUUCUUUCCUUUCCUUUUU